AGAUUGAACGCUGGCGGCAUGCUUUACACAUGCAAGUCGAACGGUAACGCGGGGGCAACCCUGGCGACGAGUGGCGAACGGGUGAGUAAUACAUCGGAACAUGUCCUGGAGUGGGAGAUAGCUCGGCGAAAGCCGGAUUAAUACCGCAUACGCUCUGAGGAGGAAAGCGGGGGACCCGUAAGGGCCUCGCGCUGCGGGAGUGGCCGAUGUCGGAUUAGCUAGUUGGUGAGGUAAAGGCUCACCAAGGCGACGAUCCCGUAGCCUGGUCUGAGAGGAUGAUCAGCCACACUGGGACUGAGACACGGCCCAGACUCCGUACGGAGGCAGCAGUGGGAAUUUGGACAAGUGGGGGUCAACCCGUGAAUCCGAGCCCAGUAGCCGCGUCGAGUACGGAAGAAAGGGUCCUUACGGGUUAGUAAAGCUACGUUUACGGACGGGUAACGUAAAAGUAGGUUAACGG
rnacentral:rRNA from 1 species